UGGGGAAUAUUGGACAAUGGGCGAAAGCCUGAUCCAGCCAUGCCGCGUGUGUGAAGAAGGUCUUCGGAUUGUAAAGCACUUUAAGUUGGGAGGAAGGGCAUUAACCUAAUACGUUAGUGUUUUGACGUUACCGACAGAAUAAGCACCGGCUAACUCUGUGCCAGCAGCCGCGGUAAUACAGAGGGUGCAAGCGUUAAUGGGAAUUACUGGGCGUAAAGCGCGCGUAGGUGGUUUGUUAAGUUGGAUGUGAAAUCCCCGGGCUCAACCUGGGAACUGCAUUCAAAACUGACUGACUAGAGUAUGGUAGAGGGUGGUGGAAUUUCCUGUGUAGCGGUGAAAUGCGUAGAUAUAGGAAGGAACACCAGUGGCGAAGGCGACCACCUGGACUAAUACUGACACUGAGGUGCGAAAGCGUGGGGAGCAAACA
rnacentral:rRNA from 1 species